UUGCACUAUUCGUAAGGUUUGAAGUACUUAACCCAUUUGAGGCCAAACAAAAACUAGAAGGGUAACCUUAGAUUUUUUUUUAGUUUAUUAAUUAUUAGCAACACAAAGAU